rnacentral:rRNA from 1 species
AGAGAGAGACAUGCGCGCAUAUCAAUAAGCGGAGGAAAAGAAACUAACAUAGGAUUCCCUCUAGUAACGGCGAGUGAAGCGGGAAGAGCUCAAAUUUGAAAUCUUCAAGGUUCUACCUUGACGAAUUGUAGUUUAAAGAAGUGUUUUCUGUUGAAGUUUUGGUAAAAGUUCUUUGGAAUAGGACAUCAUAGAGGGUGAGAAUCCCGUAUUUGACCAUUAUUUUCAGCUUUGUGAUAGCACUUUCAAAGAGUCGGAUUGUUUGGGAAUGCAGUCCAAAAUGGGUGGUAAAUUUCAUCUAAAGCUAAAUAUUGGCGAGAGACCGAUAGCGAACAAGUACCGUGAGGGAAAGAUGAAAAGAACUUUGAAAAGAGAGUUAAACAGUACGUGAAAUUGUCAAAAGGGAAGCGUUUGACACCAGUGUUGUUUUCUCGAAAAUCAAUUAAAAAUGGCUCGAUUUUGUAUUGCUUGAGACCUUAAAAGCUCACUGUACAUUUUUCGUGUCUUUUUUAAUGCACUUUUCGUUUAACAAGUCAACAUCAGUUUCUUUUGUUGUAAAAGGGUCAUUGGAAGGUGGCUUUCUUUUCGGAGAAAGUGUUUAUAGCCUUUGGCCUCUGCAAUCGGAGAGACUGAGGUCUGCAGCGUAGACUCUUCGGGGUUAGAUACAUUUGUGCUAAGUUAUAGCUUUUUAUAGACAACUUGUUGACUAUAAUUAGUCUUGUAGCUUACUCGCUUAUGCUAUUUUACCUACGCUUAGGAUGUUGAAGAUGUAGCACAUCAU